GCGCAAGUGCGCGUUAUUGCAGGGAAAGCGGCGGCGCUCUGCAGGGUCGGUUGGGUUUUUGCAUGCAGAAGAACAGAGACUCUGUUACUGUGAAAGCCUGCUGACGCAUUUACCGGGACACGGGAACGGCACUGUGUGCGUUUGAGAUUCAUCCGCUUGAAGAGGGGGUCACAGCGGUUCAAAGAGGGUGCUGUCUUGCUCUCCGAUAAAGCCCAGAGAUGCACGGUAAAGCAGAUUAAAACACGGCAAACCAGGGAUAAACCAUGGUAAAUACACAAUAGAACUACGGGAAAAAACAGAUUUGGGGGACGGGGGACGGGGACGGCAUCUUAAUCCAUUAAAAAAAAAGACGUUUUAUUUUCUACUGCAGAGCCCGCCUCUCCCACUAGGUGGCACUGCAGACAACAGUACAGCAGACAGAUCAGCCAAUAAAUCUAAGAGGAAGUUAGCACAGCUGCAGGGCCUCAUUAAUGCUGCUGUUUUUCAUUUUUUUUCUAUCCCUUGAUAGUUUUGUAGGAGUUUAUAUUCACUAGUCUACUGAAUGAAUACAAUGCCACAGACCCACCCUCGGGUAGCUGGCAGUGUAAAUAUUUCACAAGACUGCUAAUGUUUUGCUGUUGAUUGAGUCAAGGGUAGCCCAGUAUGGUGGAUUUGGAGGAAGGUAGUUGGAGGGCAUUGAAUCCACUGAGCCUAAAAACAAAGAAGAUGUUUUUUCAAAUCUUAAAAGGACUUGACAAACUAAGUUCACUCUAGCGCAAUACUAUUAGCGCAGCCAGAAGCCAGGACAGUGCGAAGGAGACAGUUCUUUACACAGAGCGUUGUGAGGGGAUGGAAUGGGUUACCUGGCCAUGCUGUUGAUGCCUGAGUUCCUGUCAGACCCAACUUGACACAGUUUUAGGAUCAAUCAGCUACUGGGAAUGCUGAUGGUGAUGAAUGCCCUCCUCUCGGUCCUAAAUGUUCCUACAGUGUGUUCACAGGUUGAGUAUAAGAACAUAACAGAAAUCUGUAACAUCAAAACAGGUUUGAUCCCUCCCUGUAAUUCAAACAAAGAAAAUAGCAGCGCACGCAAUGAUAACGUGGCAGCUAUUUUAUUCUGUGGUUGUAAAAAGAGCUGAACUUUGCCUGUUGUUCGCACAGUGAAGUAGUUCAGUGUUGAUCUUGGACGUGAGGACAGUGCGCUCUCUCUCUCUCACCUGACUGGGACGUGAACGCGGGAAUUCCUUCACCUCUCAGGACUCCACGCUGCUCCACUACCACGGGAGAACCUUUAAACGUGUUCAUUAAAUAAACCAAGACUCUUGCACAGCUGAGCCUCUGGAUUCUACAAAGCAGAGUUAGCAGCAGCUGAAUCAAGACGUUACACACCCCUUUUUCUGUGGGAAACACAGGCUGGGCCACGCCCCCUCCUGGUCAGUCAGAGACUCGCAGGCCGGACCUCGCCCCCUUCUGGUCAGUCAGAGACUCGCAGGCCGGACCUCGCCCCCUCCUGGUCAGUCAGAGACUCGCAGGCCGGACCACGCCCC